rnacentral:lncRNA from 1 species
AUCUCAGAGGAAUCCUUUAUUGUUUUAAAUUUACAGAAAGGAUGAAAAACCUGAUAGAAGAAACAUAUCAGUCACCAGAUUAAUCUGAGCAAAUGAUUGCUUAUUAAGAACACAAUGACAGACCUACCAGAUGCACUGUGGAGGAUAUACAGACUACAGAAGCAGCACGGUUUCUCCUUCCUUUGCCAGACUUCAUCGGCAUUUAAAAAAUCCAGAGUACAAAGAACCUUUAUACCUUAUCUCUGGCGAUGUCAGAUAUCUCCAACUGUUUAGGACCAGACAGGAACAAGACAGCAAAGGACCAUGUCAUGCGCACCAUCCUCAUUUUGCCUUUUUAUUUUUGUCCAGUAAGCUGGGAGCCAAGGAUCUGAUAUAGGCACAGGUGCAUAUAAGCAGCAAGAUUACAGUCAGUAGACUCUGAAAGUUGAAGAUGGCAGAC